UGGGAUUUGGGAUUUUGGGAUUUGGGAUCCGACCCCGCGGAGCCGGAGCCGCUCAUCCUCCGGAAUUCUGGGAAUGGGAAAAUCGGGAUCUGGGAUUGGGGAUUUGGGGAAUUUGGUAUUUUGGGAUUUGGGAUCAGGAUCCGGGAUUUGGGAUUUGGGAUUUGGGAAUUUGGGGAUUUGGGGAUUUGGGGAUUUGGGAUCCGGCCCCGCCGAGCCAGAGCCGCUCAUCCUCCGGAAUUCUGGGAGCGGGAAAAUCGGGAUCGGGGAUUGGGGAUUUGGGGAUUUUGGGAUCAGGAAUUUGGGAUUUGGGAUCUGACCCCGCGGAGUCGGAGCCGCUCAUCCUCCGGAAUUCUGGGAAUGGGAAAAUCGGGAUCGGGGAUUUGGGGAAAGGAUCCAGGAUUUGGGAUUUGGGAUUUGGGGAUUUUGGGAUUUGGGGAUUUGGGAUCUGAGAUCGCGGAGCCGCUCUUCCUCCGGAAUUCUGGGAGAGGGAAAAUCGGGAUUUGGGAUUUUGGGGAUCAGGAAUUUGGGAUUUUGGGAUUUGGGAUACGACCCCAGAAGCUGGAGCUGUUCAUCCUCCGGAAUUCUGGGAGCAGGAAAUUCGGGAUUUGGGAUUUGGGAUUUUGGGAAAGGAUCCAGGAUUCAGGAUCAGGAAUUUGGGAUUUGGGAUCCAACCCCGCGGAGCCGGAGCCGCUCAUCCUCCGGAAUUCUGGGAGCGGGAAAAUCGGGAUUUGGGAUUUUGGGAUCCAGGAAAGGAUCCAGGAUUUGGGAUUUGGGAUUUUGGGAUUUUGGGAUUUGGGGAUUUUGGGAUUUAGGGAAUUUGGGAUUUGGGAUCUGAGAUCACGGAGCCGCUCAUCCUCCGGAAUUCUGGGAGAGGGAAAAUCGGGAUCUGGGAUUGGGGAUUUGGGGAUUUGGGGAUUUUGGGAUUUUGGGAUUUUGGGAUUUGGGGAUCAGGAAUUUGGGAUUUUGGGAUUUGGGAUCCGACCCCGUGUAGCUGGAGCUGUUCAUCCUCCGGAAUUCUGGGAGCAGGAAAUUCGGGAUUUGGGAUUUGGGAUUUUGGGAAAGGAUCCAGGAUUCAGGAUCAGGAAUUUGGGAUUUGGGAUCCAACCCCGCGGAGCCGGAGCCGCUCAUCCUCCGGAAUUCUGGGAGCGGGAAAAUCGGGAUCUGGGAUUUGGGGAUUUGGGG
rnacentral:lncRNA from 1 species